UAGAACGCUGGCGGCAGGCCUAUACAUGCAAGUCGUACCACGGUACCCGUAAGCUUGCUCCUUUGCUGACGAGUGCCCUCCGGGUACCACUUGGGCCGUAAACUGCCCGAUGGACGGGGAUAACUUCGGUCGACCGUAACUAAUUCCCCUUAUCGUCGCAGGCCUUUUUGGGGGGACUUUCGGGCCUCUUGCCAUCACAAUGUGCCCAGAAGGGAUUAGCUAGUAUGUGGGGUAACGGCUCACCUAGGCGACUAUCCCUAGCUGGUCUGAGAGGAUGACCAGCCCCACUGGAACUGAAACCCGGUCCACACUCCUACGGGAGGCAGCAGUGGGGAAUAUUGCACAUUGGGCGCAAGCCUGAUGCACCCGUGCCGCGUGUAUGAAGAAGGCCUUCGGGUUGUAAAGUACUUACCGCGAGUAGGAAGGCGUUGUGGUUAAUAACCGCAACGAUUGACGUUACUCCCAUAAAAACCCGGCUAAUUCCUGACCACCCCCGCGGUAAUACGGAGGGUGCAAGCGUUAAUCGGAUUACUGGGC
rnacentral:rRNA from 1 species